rnacentral:lncRNA from 1 species
UCCACAGUUUAUUAUGGCUUUCCAACAUUUUCUUAGGACAUAUGUGUUGCCAAAAAUGGAAGGAAUGAAUAGUUUUCUAUAGAAUUAAAUAAACUGUACCAUUCUUCUUGAGAAAAAUUUUUGCAUUCUUCGCUCUCUAAAACUCUCUGUUAGAAAAUCGGAUAGACAGCAUGUGUAUAUUUCAAAAACUCUUUUUGAUUGCAGCAAAAAAUAAAUAGAUUAAACUCUUUAACCCCACAUGCAUAAGAGCCAAUCUAAUCCUACCCAAGCUCAAGAGAAAAAUAAAUAUAUAAUCUAAAAUUUAAAAAAAUAAUAUGAGAUCAUAUCUCAAUACCUUAAAGUGGAUAGAUAUUCACCGCUAUCGAUGAUCACAGAUUUGUAGAUAUUCGAGCUGCACACGUAUCCGAUCUCUAUGGAUAUCCAUC